rnacentral:rRNA from 1 species
UACGUAGGGUCCGAGCGUUGUCCGGAAUUACUGGGCGUAAAGAGCUCGUAGGUGGUUUGUCGCGUUGUCCGUGAAAACUCACAGCUCAACUGUGGGCGUGCGGGCGAUACGGGCAGACUGGAGUACUGCAGGGGAGACUGGAAUUCCUGGUGUAGCGGUGGAAUGCGCAGAUAUCAGGAGGAACACCGGUGGCGAAGGCGGUUCUCUGGGCAUUACCUGACGCUGGAGGAGCGAAAGCAUGGGGAGCGAACAGG